rnacentral:rRNA from 1 species
CGAUACAAGGUGAUAGCCCUGUACACGACGCAAUCUUUACAGUGAAAUCGAGUAGGUCGGGACACGUGUUAUCUUGACUGAAUAUGGGGGGACCAUCCUCCAAGGCUAAAUACUCCUGACCGACCGAUAGUGAACCAGUACCGUGAGGGAAAGGCGAAAAGAACCCCUGUGAGGGGAGUGAAAUAGAACCUGAAACCGUAUACGUACAAGCAGUGGGAGCCCUUCGGGGUGACUGCGUACCUUUUGUAUAAUGGGUCAGCGACUUAUAUUUAGUAGCAAGGUUAAGCGAAUAGCGGAGCCGUAGCGAAAGCGAGUGUUAACUGCGCGUUUAGUUGCUAGGUAUAGACCCGAAACCCGGUGAUCUAGCCAUGAGCAGGUUGAAGGUUGAGUAACAUCAACUGGAGGACCGAACCCACUGACGUUGAAAA